AGCUCCAAUAGCGUAUAUUAAAGUUGUUGCAGUUAAAAAGCUCGUAGUUGGAUUUCUGGUAGGAGUGACCGUGCCGAACUUGAUUGUUCGUGUAUUGUAUUGUCUCCAGCCAUCCUCGUGGAGAACAUUUCCAGCAUUAACUUGUUGGGAUUGGGACCCGCGUCUUUUACUGUGAAAAAAUUAGAGUGUUUAAAGCAGACAUUAGAUUGAAUACAUUAGCAUGGAAUAAUAAGAUAUGACUUUGGUACUAUUUUGUUGGUUUGCAUACCAAAUUAAUGAUCAACAGGAACAGUUGAGGAUAUUCGUAUGAACAUGUCAGAGGUGAAAUUCUUAGAUUUUGAUCAGACGAACUACUGCGAAAGCAUUUUUCAAGGAUGUUUUCAUUAAUCAAGAACGAAAG
rnacentral:rRNA from 1 species